GGAUUGCUCACGUUACUUCAGCCAAUCAGAGAACUGUGCAUGAGUGGAUUGCUUAUCAUGUAGCCCCCCUCCCUCACCAGGCCUUUCAAAAUACUUUGCUGAAACCUUCUGGGGAGUUGGGGGUUUGGGGGGCAAGAAAGAAAGUGAAGUCGCUCAGUGGUGUCCGACUCUUUGCGACCCCGUGGACUGUAGCCUACCAGGCUUCUCCAUCCAUAGGAUUCUCCAGGCAAGAAUACUGGAGUGGGUUACUGUUUCCUUCUCCAGAGGAUCUUCCUGACCCAAGGAUUGAACCCAGGUCUCCUGCAUUGGAGGCAGACACUUUAACCACUGAGCCACCAGGGAGCGACCCAUUUUCCUUGCAUGGCCUGCAGUAAGCCUUUCUCUGUUCCAAACACCAACAUUUCAGUACUGUUUGGCCUCACUGUGCCAUCAGGCACAAGGACUUGGCCUUUGGGAACAAGAGAAACAGAGGCCUGAGCCCCUUUCCAGAAGAUUUCCCAGCUGAGCUGAUUGGCUGUGGCAUUAGUCCAGGUAACCAAGUACCCUUUCCACGCAGAAGCAGCAGACCCAGAGUCAUAGCCAAGCACAAGCACAUACGUCUUUCACAGAGCACUGCGCUCUCUCAGGGCCGAGUCUCACCUUGGAGGUUGAUGAUGCUCCGAAGUCACGGGGAGCUGGAGCCCAUCUCCACCGACAGCCGUCUGGCUUUUGGAUUCCAGUCACAUUCUUCACCAGCCGAAGGGAGUGCUCAAGGCCCUUCUGUCCAUGGGAUUCUCCAGGCAAGACUACUGAAGUGGAUUGCCAUGUCCUCCUCCAGGGAUCUUCCUGACCCAGGGAUCGAACCCACACCUUUUAUGUCUCCUGCAUUGACAGAGAUAUGUAGCCUCACUUGUCUGGCAUCUUAUCCAAGAAGACUUCCUUUUCUCUGGUUCCCUGUGGAAUGCAUAUUAAGCCAUUGGAGAGAGAAGAGUGGACAAAUGUGGCAGGACAGAGGCAUGAGAGAGAAGCAGAGGAAACCCAUUCUAAUUCUAUACAUUCAUCAACCUUAUGCAUUAUUCAUAAAAACGACUGGACAACUGAGGAUCACCAGACAUUGGAUAAACACAAACAGUGUGAAAGAGAAGAACCAAGUGAACUAGAAGAAUGAUUGGAAACAGAGAUAAUUCAGAGAACAGAAGAAAACAUUAAAUCCAUCCUAAUUAGCAUCCUCUGGCUUCCCAGGUAGCUCAGUGGUAAAGAAUCUGCCUGCAGUGCAGGAGAUGAGGGUUUGAUUCUUGGACUGGGAAGAUCACCUGGAAAAGGAAAUGGCAGCCUACUCCAGUAUUCUUGCCUCGGAAAUCCCAUGGACAGAGG
ensembl:lncRNA